AAGUCGUAACAAGGUUUCCGUAGGUGAACCUGCGGAAGGAUCAUUAACACGUAUCCAAACGUUAAAACCCCCCCCGUGAACCUUCAUCCUGCUCUUGUAACCCGCGUAGUUUGCAAUCUCUGAUAAAUCAUAGCCCGGAAAGUUGUAGUGAUUCAGAGACCUCUGGCUACGUGCGAACAUUGGAACAGUUACAAUCGAGCGGUAGUUCUAUAGGCAAUGUUUCCCCAAGCAGUCAGUGUCGGAAAGUGUCAUUGAUUGUGCAAGCUUCUACGAUUCCUGUAGACCGUACACUCGGGCAGGAGCUUUGCCAAAGGGUCCCCAUGCCCCCUAAUAACCCCACAGUUUAACCGAACAACUGUUAACAAUGGAUAUCUUGGUUCUC
rnacentral:misc_RNA from 1 species